UACGAGGGAGCUAGCGUGUUCGGAUUGAUCUGGGCGUAAAGCGUGCGCAGGCGGCUUCUCAAGUCAGGGGUGAAAGCCCAGAGCUCAACUCUGGAAUUGCCUUUGAGACUGAGUGGCUUGAGUACGAGAGAGGUGAGUGGAAUUCCCAGUGUAGAGGUGAAAUUCGUAGAUAUUGGGAAGAACACCGGUGGCGAAGGCGGCUCACUGGCUCGUAACUGACGCUCAUGCACGACAGCGUGGGGAUCAAACAGG
rnacentral:rRNA from 1 species